rnacentral:lncRNA from 7 species
AUGGAGGUCCUUAAAGAGGAGAUAAAGACAGAUCCCUUACAACAUUUGUGAUCAAUUUAUGGUCCUUUUAUAUGCUUACAAAAACUGCACUGAAGUGAAAAUCUGUGGCUGGAUGAUGUUUUCUUUCUCCUACUCCGUUCUUACUGCCUUGUACAACAGCAUGAGCUUCUCACUGCCUCUUCUGGGGAUGAACUGGGAAGUCCGGAUGCACAAAGCAGAGCACAUUCGUCAUGGAUGGAAACAACUACACAAUAUGCUCCUCUUGUAAGAGGGCAGCAGGAGUAUAUUUAUUGAUUGUAAUAUAGAUAUCAUGUAGUGAUUUCACAGUGACCUAGUAAGAUUUGAGAUGGCUGGAUGCACUUGAUUAUUUAUUGCAUAGGAGUUAAACAUGGAAAUAUGGGAGACCCUUCUGCUGAGUUGUGAGGUUCAGAGUGGACCCCCUUGCUUUCUUACCUCUGUGGUUCUAGGAAUUUAGGAGCCUAGGUGCAGUUGAACCCAAUCCUACCUACAGACUUGGUCAGUGAUUUAUGUUGAAGGGAUCAUGUGCACAAUCAACGAUCUAAUCUUAGCAAAGCUAACAAAGCUUAAAGCCAUCAGUCACUUCCUGAGUAUCUGUAUCAGCAAAAUGUCUUGAUGUCAAAGUGUAAGGGAUCUCUGUGCAGGCGUAACCUUGAGAGGUGUCCCUACUCAAGGGGAGAUCCUGUUGUGCAGCCAGCUGCCACACAGGAGAGCUCCAGGGGCUCUUGGGCUGCUCACUAUUUAUGGGGUAAGAUAACUGACUCAUAGUCAUGCUUUGUUUUUAGGCAUGUGCUGAAUUGGCCUCAGCUGUUGAACCGGCUGUCUGCUAUCAGUUCUUUCAACCCCCCAGAUCUGUGUUCAUUAAUCUGCCUUAGAGUUUUAUCAGUACUGGUGGGUGGGGAGCACACCAUCACGUCUCUCUCCUGUGAUGUUAUUUUCUUGUCUGCAGCUUUUAUGUGUACUAGUUCACUGGUUUUCCAAAUAUUGCCUCCAAUGCAGUUCAGCUUCUGAGGAGAAAAGGUAAAAGUGCUAGAACUCUUGUCAGAGGCAGAUUUGUCUCUAACAACACCUGUCCAGGACAUCUUGGCCAAUGAGCAGCAAUGCACUGUGCACAAUGCAGGGAGUUGUCCUGCCUGAGGCUGUCCUGAAUUCUGCACUAUGCAAAACUGUGACCAGUGGGGUUUGAGCCUGAGUGCAUAGAGGGAUGCAGUCUCAGGAGACCACUGUAGAAAUGAGAUAAUGAUCUGCCAGGUCUAAACCAGAUUGUUUCCCAUGCUCACCUUGAAGGGCUGAAUUAUCCUUGCUCAAAGUAUUGGCAUAGCUUAUGUUUUAGAAGACAUGCUAUUGGACUAGUUUGAAAGGUGCAUAUAACUGUCUACCUCUAGAUAGUUACCUACAGAUAGAUGUUGGAUAGAUGCGUAUGUUUUUUUAAUUACUUAUUGUAGACUGAAUCAGAAGCGUAAACAGUUCCUUGAAGGGGCAGCAGGACAAUGAGGUACAGCAGAGGCAAAACCCAAGGGCUGCAGGAAAGGUCCAUCACAGAAAAUAAAAAGAAGUAACAAGAAAUGAGAGCAGAUAUUUGGAGAGAAGCACUCAAUCACACCAUGGAGUUCAGUGUCAACCCAAUGUUGGACUAAAAUUACUAAGCGUACAGGAUUACAAACAGCCAGCUAUCAAUUUGUUUUGGUAAUUCUGCUGCGAUAGAAAAAGCAUCUAACUUCAGAGAACAGAGUAGGGAAGCCUUGAAUUACUGUUCGCCUGCUCAGGAGAAUGUGCAGACCAUGAACUGCUGCCUGGAGUAAAGUAAUGCUUGAUUGAAUGCACGGACCUGCCUGCUGCCUUUUGAGAUGAAGCUCUGCCGUCUGUCUCUCCCUGCCUAUCAAACUUACUUUAUGUGAAGAAACAAUCCUUCAGUGUUAAAACUAGGAAUAAUUCAGGUCUAAAGUGUGAGAUGUCUGACCUCUUGUUUUACAAACAGUGGAUAACAUUCACUAUAUGUAAUAUUUACUGAUUAUUAUAAAUUGCUGUAGCUAACAUCUGAAUGUCUCAUUACAGAUGAAGUUUUGGAAAGAGCAGACUCGUGCAGUGUGUAUUAAAUUUAUAGCACGGCUGCUCAGUUCAAUAAGGAGCAGAUUAUGAAUUAAAAGUCAAUAAUGGCAUUAUGAGCAUUCAUUUUGGGGGUUCUUUUUCUAAUUAUCUGCAAUCUGUCAUCCAGACAGUCUAUGAUAACUCAUCUUAGAACAAAGGCAAUGUAUCUGCUGCUCAGCGUAGGAAGCAAGCUUACCCUCCCUCUUCAUUUUAAUGUGUUGUGAUUUAUGUACUCCUGCUUCUUUUCCACUAAAGUGAGGGGAGGGGGGGAAUCUCAUGAGAUCUGUAGACCUGGUUUUACCUUGGGUAUGAAAAUAGCUCUUUCAGAGAUGCUGUACUUGAAAAUAGGCUGAAAUAGAAUGUCCCUAAUGCUUAGUUCAGCUGUUUGCCACGGAGAAGGGAAAUGAGCUCUGCAUUGUUUCCAGUUUUUCUACUGAUUCUGUUUCUGUCUGACUCUUUUGUGUUUAUAUGCACCCACAAAAUGGAUAUGCUACUACCUGCAAGGAACUGAGCAAUUUAAUUAUGGAUUUGAGAAACACCGAUGUUCAGUAUUUCUUCUCAGUUCAUCAUCUGGAGUGACCAUCUCUGGGGAUUAUAGAAUUAAAAAAAGCAAGAGCU